rnacentral:lncRNA from 1 species
UCCCACGUCUGGGGGCUGCUCCAGAAAUCCAACCCCCGCUAAUGACAAUCUCCUCACCGCUCCCUUCGUCUUUCCCUGUGCGGGGACCGUCCAGGAAAGGGGGGCUUGAGACCCGGAGGAGUCCGAGAGGAAAGGAGGGGGCGUGCUUAAUCUGAAAUGAACACCCCCGGUUUCUGGAGCAAAGGCUAAAAAGGCGAUUAGGAGAGCCAGCCCAGGAGAAAUACCACCUGAAUUUACCUCCUCCUUUCCCACACCAAAAGCCCAGUCACUAACUAAUAAGCUGAGAAAAUUCCCUGGAAAACUUUUCCAAACGGGCAGAGAAGGCCCUCUCCCCAGCCUGGGGGCUCCUGGGGAACCGGCAGGAGUUUGCAGCCCGGGAAGGGCUCGCCGGGGAGUGGGGUGGGGCGCGGGCGAGGGGUGCAGGGGCGGAGUACCUUCAAUGGACAGGAACUGGCAAAGAGUUGCAAAAUAGCCGAGUGCUCUCCUCCACGCCCUCGGGGGUCGCGGGCGCUAGGACCAGGGCUCCCCGAAAGGAGGGCAACCCCCAAUUCGGGCCUAAAAGGAAACUUUCCGGGCCGCGGCUGCACCUGACUCCUCGCCGCCCCUCCACCCCACCCCACGCCCGCCAGGCCGCCCGCCCCGCCCCGGCCUGGCCGCCCAGAGCGCAGAGGGGAAUAAAUAAAUUCAACUAUUACCGGAAUCGAGGGUGGGGGGGCCUCGGCGAGAGACCAGGGGGAAGGGCCGGGCGGGUGCCCAUUCCCCACUCCUAGGCCCUGACGCCCCUGUCCCGGCAACCCGGGCCUGCCGCCCCGCGGGGGAGCCUCCCGGCCGGCGCACGAUCGGGCCCCGCAGCGCCGCCGUCCCGCCCGGAGGCCCCGGGGGAGCCGGAGGGGCGCGCGGAGGCCCGGGGUGCCGGGGCAGGGCGCGGCCGNNNNNNNNNNNNNNNNNNNNNNNNNNNNNNNNNNNNNNNNNNNNNNNNNNNNNNNNNNNNNNNNNNNNNNNNNNNNNNNNNNNNNCGCCCCGGCCCACACCCCCACCCGGGCCCGCGCAGGCCGCGCCGCUCGGCCGGCUCGGGCCCCGGCUGGACCCCCCGCCCGCCUGCCGCCGCCGCCCGUGGGCGCCCCCAGGUCCUGCGGCCCCCAGCCCCCGCCACCCCGGCGCCAGCCCCUCUCACCCUUUCAUUCUCUGCCCGGGGCCUGACGCGGGCCGGCGGAUCCCCGGCCUCACGUAAGCGCGCUCGCCGCCCGCCCUGCCUGCGCGGCCCUGCCCGCCGCCCUACGGGAGCCCGGGGAUGUGGGCCGGGCCUGGGGCCGCCUCUGCUUACCUUUCAGCUGCUUUUUUUUUUUCUCCUUCCCCCCUUUUCCCUCGGCCGGGCUGACAGAUCAGAGUGAGAGGCGCUGGCAAUGGACUAGGAAGCUCGGCUGCCGCUGCUACUGCUCCCCCCUGGGCUCCGGCGAGAGCCUUUCCCUGUCAAGCAAGAGGGGUGAGGAUCAUAUUUUUAUUUUGGAAACUAAAAAGUGCUCCCAGGGUCGGUGAUUAUUAAGGGGAAAUCCCUGAAUAUACUCUCCAGCCAAGAAGGCAGGGCUGCCGGGGCUGCACAAGAAGAGGCAGCAGCCUCCUACAGCACCACUACAGGCACUGCGAGGACAUAACACCAGAGAGCCGCUCCUCUGCCCUCCGAAACGACAACUUUCCUACCAUCUUGGAGGCAGAGGAAAGGGGGGCCGGGGGGAAAAGUGCACCCGCUCCCGAUAAAGUGCAAAUUUCGACUUCUCAUCUCUGGAAAAAAGUCCAUACCGGCCGUCUACACUGGCGCCUGGGGGAGAAAGCAGGGAAGAAACUGGGGGUGCUUGAGAAACGUUUUCAUUCGCACCUCGGGGGAAAAUGUUUCUGCAUCUUCUGAUGGAAAGAAAUCUUUACAAGACACAGGUUUUCCGGUGAUUAUUGUUUUCUGUUUCCUAUGUGAUUUUUUUCCAGGUUGGUGGCAG